AUGGCACCCUACCCCCUACUCUAGAUGGCACCCUACUCCCUACUCUAGAUGGCACCCUAUUCCCUACUCUAGAUGGCANCCUACUCUAGAUGGCACCCUAUUCCCUACUCUAGAUGGCAUCCUCCUCUAGAUGGCACCCUACUCCCUACUCUAGAUGGCACCCUAUUCCCUACUCUAGAUGGCACCCUAUUCCCUACAUGAAUGCACUACAUGGCACCCUGUUCCCUACACGGCACCCUAUUUAAUACACUACUUUUGACCAGGGUUUGGGACACAACCAGGACCUUGUGUUUGUUAUUGUGAGAGAGGAGAAGGAGGGAGAGGAGGAGGAGGGAGAGGAGAAGGAGGGAGAGGAGAAGGAGGGAGGGGUAGUGUUUGUUAUUGUGAGAGAGGAGAAGG
rnacentral:lncRNA from 13 species